UCUCUCUCUCUCUCUCUCUCUCUCUCUCUCUCUCUCUCUCUCUCUCUCUCUAUGGAUUUGUUCUUGUACACUUAUGUCAGUCUGAUCAAGCACUGGGUUCUAAAGUGAAGUAUAGAGUUGUUUUAUGCAAUUCUCUAUCAAAAGUUUGUUUGAGUCUCUAGUGUGGAUGGAGUUUAUGUGGGCUCUAUUUCUUGAAUGAGAAUUGAUGUAGAAAAAAGAGUUUUUUCUAUUCUUCUUUCAAGUUCUUCCUGCAAUAAAAGCUAGUGGCAUUGAUUAUCUGACACCGUCUUGAUUUGAGGUUUCUCUUUGAAUGUGGUGUUAAAUGACAAAGAAAGAAUCGGUGGUUCACGUGAAAAUGGCUAUUUGAGUUGUUUGGAAAGGAAGGAAGCUAUUGGUAGUAGCUAUAACUUAGUGUGUUUAUUGCAGAGGAGGAGGGGAAAGCGAAGAAGAUAAGAUCAAAACGGGAUGGGAGAACGUGUGUCUCAGUGUUUGGUUGGUUCACCAAGUUGAAAUUGGGGAGAGCAUGGCAAUCUUAGGAGCCACAAGAGAAUUUGGGAUCUUGGAUGAAGAAUGUGGCAACGGACUGGACCAAGAGCGGAUUGUUACAUGAGUUAGAACUGAAAAGAGGUGAAUCUGUCAAAUUAGAAGAACUUAUGUUAGAUUUUGCUGAUAUUACUGAGAUUCCUAUGUCUAUCGGUUCUCUGAUGAAGCUGGAGAAACUGAGUGCCUGCUGUUGUGAGUCACUCAGAGAAAUCCCUAGCUUAAUUUGAGAUUUGCUGAAUUUGCAACAUUUGGACAUUAGUGGUUCUGGGAUUGAAAAGCUUCCUAGUGCUAUUGGAAGGUUGAAAAAUCUGCGCACUAUAAGUCUCCUAUCAUGCCUUGUCUGAAAAAGCAAUUCCAAGUGAAAUCGGUGACUUGUCUUCACUUGAGAUUCUCUAUAUCACUUGUGUGCCAAUAUCUACCCUACCAGAAAGCAUUCGGAAUGUUUCUUCUCUCCAAUGCCUUAGCCUAAUGGGCUAUGACAAGCUCCGGUUGCUGCCAAAGCUUCCUUCAAGCUUGACAUAUCUGUUGAUCUCUUGUCAGAGUCCCAGGUUGCCACAGCUUUCUAGCCUAAUCCACCCAGAAAAACUCCAUUUUAAGGCAUGCCAUCUAGUUGAAGACAUCCAUGAGAUUUCCUCAAGACCCUUGAAAUUCUGUAUUGAGGAGUGUGAUAAGCUUAUAUUGCUUAAGCUCAAUAGAUUCGAGUACUUGGAAGAGUUUUGAAUAAAAAAAUGCAGUUUGAUUGAAAGAUUGGCCCUUUCACAAUUAAUCCAUCUGAAAUGAUUAUGCGCCAAGCAUUGCAAUAACCUAGUUGAAAUUCAGGCCCAUGAUGAUUUGGAGUUCUUGGAGGGCAUAUUUAUAUAUGACUGCAAUUCCAUUAAAAGGCUUCUCUGUCCAAAAUCACAGUGUUUGGAGGAAUUACGGGCCAUCAGGUGCAACAAUCUAGUCGAAAAUUGAGGUCUUGACGGUGUGUAGUUUUUAGAAAAAUUGGAUAUUACAAGAUGCAUGGCAAUGGAGGCUUUGCCAAGUUUGAUGGGACGUGAGAAGUUACAAUCUCUAGUAAUUAAAGACUGCAAGAAACUUACUCAGCUUCAGGGACUUGAAAAGAUGGAUUUAGAUCUUUUGGAUGUUCAAGGUUGCAACUCAUUGGAAAUGCUGUUGAAAUUAUCUAGAACAUGCGUCACUGGAAAUUAUGAAGAGAUCUAUCUCGAUCUCUCUGUUGAAAUAUUAUACUACAGUGAUAAUGAUGUGAUGAAUCUUAUACCCGUAUUACAACAGUGAGACGAGUCAUGUUUCCUUGACAGAGGGUUCUGACUUCCCUAAAUUGCGAGUAUUACCUAAUUGAAGGAGCAAGGGUAGUUGGUCAUAGAAGUUGACAUGAUGCUUCAGCCAAGAUCAAAAUAUAGACCCUAAUGUCAAUAGAAGGCACUGGUUAUCUAGUUAGAUUCUCCAUCCUUGAAUGGCCAGCGUGAGAGAAUGGAGUAACACUUUUCUUGAAGCUAUAUUUUUUAAGAAUGAUUUGCUCCGCACCGGGUCUGGUUGGUCUAUAGGAUGAUCAAGGCUUACUUUGGGACUUAAAUUUGAUGAGCUUUAUCGAUGAUCUUUUGCAUAAUGGGACAAAUUUUUUGCCCUUUCUGUGAAACAAGCGGGGGCAAGGAGCUCAAGAACUUGCUAAUGAGUCUGCAUCCCAUCUAAUCCUAUUGUUGUCAUGGAAUCGUUUUAUCACAUGAUUAAUCUGAGUCUGGCUAACUUGGCUGAGGAACUUCAAAUUCCAUGCCAGAGACUGAUCAAAAUGAAGAAGAUAUAUUUUGCAAAGGAAGCACUAGCAACAGCUGAGGACCAUCUUUUGUGCCAACGUUGAAGAGGCUCAUGGACCAACUGGAGUGUGUUUAGGAAGUUUUGAUGCUUGUGAGGAUCCAAAACACUUCAUCUGAUCUCAACAGCACAUGCUUGAAUGAUUUAAAUGUUGUAUUUCAGUUGAGUCUGCUUUUUGUAUGCACUCGAGGUUCAACCUCUCUGUCAAUCAAAUGUGUAGCUGGCUGAUUCUUUUGUAUGUCAUCCUGAUGCAGAGGUGUUUGAUGCCAUUGCAUUCUAAUGUUAUCACACCUGAACUCAGUGAGGCUCUGCAGAGGGAGUCUGAGCACCUCAUCUUCUCAGCAUAAUUUUAUUAACAAGGAAAGUGUUGCUAGUUGCUUUCGUCUCCAAAGCUGAAGUGCACUUUCAUCUUUGUGUUCCUAACCACAAACAAGAAAAGUGUUGCUAGUUGCUUUCGUCUCCAAAGCCUGUUGUUUUCUUUUUCAUUGGCCAGCUGAUGAGGUUUUUGUUCAUUGUUGUCCAACUGCAAUUGGGGCAAAUGAUGCUUUGUGCAUUUGCACCUUAUCUUUCAUGGUGUAUAUUGUGAUGCUCCGAUCUUAGUUAUCUUCAUUCAUUGAUAAUUAGUAAAUCCUAUCCUUCUUGUGUAGAUUCAACUCUUAUUUCAUAAAAUUCAGAUAGCAUCCCCAAACAUCACAGGAAGGAGAUGUGGGCAGGAAUGAGAUAUGUCAUGAGACGUUAUGGAAAGGCGUUCCAAAGUUCUUCGCCAUUGGUGCUUAUAAUGUGCUCCAUGUUGUUGAUAUUCUUCUUAUGAUUCAUAAUAUAAAGGGACCUCUUAUAAUGUGUAGUUGUCCUUUGCAAGCUUUGAAAUCGUGCUAUUAUUUAGCAAACACCGAAUUUCAAAAUGCUUGCAAGAAGACCGCAUAUGUGCAGGUGGUUCUGUACGUGAAGUUAAGCAUGAAGUGAGGUUUAUCAAAAAGAUUACUAUUUAGAUAUCCACUUCAAGCUACGAUUUUGUCAAUGUGAGAGACUUCUUCAUGGAAAAAGCAAAUGUCAUGGAAUCAGCAAAUAAUCUAUCAAUUGCAGGCAAGAUUUUCAGCGGAAAAAUUCCCAAAAGACAGUAGUUUCUCAUUUGGAAGAAUUUUGAGCACAAAAUAAAAGUGUUUGUCAAUGUACAAUCAUCUCUCGGACUUGGGAAGUUCAUGUAUUGGCAUUUUGCAAUCACUUGUAAGUGUAUAAUCUCAAACUCGAUUCCUUUAAGCAUGAAUCUAUAAAGCAGAGUAUACACAGCCGUACAAUUUCCA